GGAUUGUGGCUCAGUUGUAGAACGCUCACCUAGCGUGUGCGAGGCCCUGGGUUCGAUCCUCGGCACCA
rnacentral:tRNA from 1 species